CCAACACUUAGUAUUUUUUCCGCUUUCUCUAAAAUUUCGAACCCAGACCUCCAGACCUCGUUCUCCAAGCUGACGGCUGACCUGCAUCGACUCCCGAUCUCCUUCUCCAAGCUGACCUGCGUCGACUACCGACCUCAUUCUCCAACCUAAGCCUACUGGAGCCGCCUCCAACCUGACCCCAAGUCCCCGACCUCGCUCUCUGACCCCGAGUUCCCCUGCCUCGCUCUGACCCCGAGUCCCCGAUCUAGUUUUCCAGACCUCGAGCUUGAGCUCCGAUCUGACCUCGAGCUUAUUAGCCGACCUGAGCUUGUCAUUCUCCAACGUCUAGUCUCUUCUUGCACAUGUUGGCUGUCAAUCUGCAGAGGAAGAUUGUAGAUUGAAGGGUGGUACCGUACAGGUAAAUGUGUACAAUACUAGAAAUGAGGUGAUAUGGGAGAAUGGCAGCCUAAUGGAGCAAUGAAAGUUAUAGACAGGAAAAAUGAAGUAUUUAAACUGUCUCGUGGUGAAUAUGUUGCUGUGGAAAGCGUUGAAAGCAAAUACUUGCAAUGUCCCCUUGUCACAUCGAUAUGGGUUUAUGGGAACGGCUUUGAGUCAUUUCUUGUUGCUGUGGUUGUUCCUGGCAGAAAGGCCUUGGAGGACUGGGCAGCUGAGCAUCAUUUGACUGAUGAUUACAAAUCAUUGUGUCAAAACCUGAGCAAGAAGGAACAUGAUGAGGUGGACUCUAAUCUCUUCUCUCGACUCCAAUCUUGCUUUUAUUGGGAGGAAUUUUCUUAGUUGAUAUAGGUUUCCGGGAACAACUUUGAGUCGUUUCUUGCUGCUGUGGUGACUUUGGUGGACAGGACAGAUAGCUGAACAUCAUUUGACCGAUGACUUUAGAUACUUCUAGAGCUUCUGACUGAUCUCGAGGGUGUUGUAGAGACAGACAAGCCCAAAAGUAGGUGGGAAACUCAUGCAACUACUAUUCGACCAUGGCACUUCAAAAGCAAAGUAUGGCAAAAAGAAUAAGAUAUUCUACUGGGAUUGAUCGAAACCAAGUAAAGGGUGUUGCAGAGGUGUUUGCUUGUACUUGCUUUGAUUGCCACUUGUAUGGUGAUUGGUGAUGGUGUUCUCAGACCAGCUAUUUCUGGUAAUUUUUGGGUUAUGGAUGGUAAAGUUGGAAAAAGUUUCUAUUUAGGACUAACUGGGAUUUUGCUUUAAAUUGGUGCAAUGUUUUCUGCUGUUUCUGGACUUGAGUUUUCUAUGUCCGAAAAGUAUCAAAAAUGUGAGUUCUUAAAUUUUGCUCCUUUCUGGUAUUUAUUGGGCAUUUGUAUUCUGCUCAAUAGUUUGAAAUUUGGGUGAUUCCCUUUUUUAUUAAAUUAUUCUCAAUCUGAUCCUUUUCCUUUGAAUUGCUGGGUAUCAAUGUAUGAUAGUUUAUGUCAAUUUGUGUACUCAGAUUUGUAAGUCUUCAAUAUUUUUCUGCUUUAAGAAUCAAAGCCAUACAACAGGUGGACUGCCGACUUUUAUUGAUGUUGGGAAUAGCUUUGGUGCUCUAGCAAUUGUUGAAGAUAAUUUGUUACAUCAGAUUCAGUUUCUCUUGGAGCUGCAUUGAGGGCUGUUCAUGGUUGGCUAUGCAGCCAGCGCAAAAGGUACUUUUGUGGGAAAGAUCCAAACUUGAACGAUGAGAGUCGUGAAUUGUGAUCUGGGUUUCUGGGCUUUGUGGCUGUAGAAGAUCCACCAAGACUAGACUUCUGAUAUUUCUGACGUUUGGUAUUACGUGAUAUGAGAUGUGAGUGAUAAAAGCAAAAGGCUUUAUAAAUAGUUGAAGACGUCAGGAAUAUGUAAAGCACAUGACUUUGGGGGUCGAAUCAAGCAGAACCAGAGGCUUCUCAGCUCUCAUUUUUAUUCCUUUACUGCGUUGGAAGAAGCCCCUUCCUCUUCUUCUUCUUCCUACUCAGGGAACUUGGACGGUGUUUACAUGACCGACACUUGUGUUCAGUGAGCGGUAAAGGAUCGGAAAGGGUUUACCCAACAACAACUUGAUGAGGUCCGCAUUGAAGUAGCCGACUACUUACAAACUCUGCUGUAGGUUCUGACCAGUUUCUUGAUUUUGAGUUAGGCUAGCUUUUAAUUAACUUUUUUGUAGCAAUUAUGAACAAACAAGAAUACUAAUUGCUAGGCUAGCCUUGUAGUAUAUAGGUGCAUGAAUUGGGGUUUUAUUUUGCCCAUUUUGUAAACUGUUAAAGAUGAUGAAUGUCGGAUAUAAUACCCCAAUUUGCAAUUUAUAAUCACAGUUCUAUUUUGUGGACAGAAUCCUCUUUAUAGAAUGUGAUGUUUAGAUAUAAAGUUGAAAUCAGUUUUAGCCAUAAAAACUGAUGUCCAGUAAUACAGAUACAUCAGUUCCAAAAUGAAAAUCGAUGUUACUAAUAUAUCCAGACAUCGGUUCAUUGUUAAAAACGAUAUACUACCGAGUGCCAGACAUCAGUUCUGAAAUGAAAACCGAUGUUACUAAAAUAUCCAGACAUCGGUUCAUUAUCAGAAACGAUAUACUACCGAGUACCAGACAUCAGUUCCGAAAUGAAAACCGAUGUUACUAAA